GUAGGCACUUACAAAUAUAUGAUUUACUAACAGAGGCUUAAUAAGAUGAUUUUUACACCAGAUAUAUCAAAACUAGAACAAACUUAUUUCAUAGCUUUAUUCCAUAUUUAUAACAAUACAAUAAACUAUCAGGUUGUACGGAGAUUUCUUCUACAAUCACAAAAUAUUCACUUAACCAUUCCUCUUCAGGAAAAAUGAUCCUCUACCUCUAUAUACCAUCCUUCAGCUUUAUCUUGACCUUAAUUUUUUUUUUUUAAAUACCGGGAGCAAUCUGAUGAAUUAAUCAUCAGGGUAUCCAAGCCAUGUCCCCCUUGCCUCUUUAUUAAAACAGAGAGAAUAUGUCGUGAUGAAAAUGUGUGGUUUUUCCAUUCCACCUAUAACCUAUUACAAAAGUGUUAUUCUGCAAGCAUUUAGGUAAGAAAAAGGUAAACAACAAAACCCACAGUUUUUCUUUAAAAAAUCCAAGCUUAUAAUAAGGGCAUUCAUUAGUCAGUAAGUAAUAAGUGAACAAGGCUUAAUAAUGGCCACUUGCUUUUUCUUCUAAACAACAAAUGCUUUUUAAAAUCAGUAGCACAGGUGAAUAUGAAGUGGACUUUAAAACCUUUUCAGAUUCUUACAGUGAACACUUCUGAUUUUAUGACUAAUUACUGAAGUGUUAUGACACACAAAAUUCUAACCAAUGAAUGGAAUUCAUCUUUACAGGUUAUUUUCUGUCCCUAGUAUUUGUGAGGAAUUGAGAUAUUGUUACUAUCCAAAUCCUCCAGUAUAUUAAAAAGUGGCAGUAGUUACUGUCAAUCAAUUUCAGCUGCUUUUUACAGUAGAUUCUUAGGUAUAGUUGUCAAUCACGGAAACAUAGCAACGACAGACAUCUAAAUACAAAAAGCUCGAAUUUUUUUGUCUGUUUUAAAAAUAUGGUCAACAUACCAUUUAUUUCUUAUUAGUACAACAGUAAUUUUGUGCUGAGAAUUACAAACCAUAGACUCUAGGUGUUUACUUCACAAAGAGAGUCUACUAAGAGUUGAAAAAAUUAAUACAUUUCUUAAAAAAAACUCACAGCAAUUUGUUAUUAAACUGAAACUACUACAAAAGGAACAAAUGACAAAAAAUGCACUAAAAAUUUUUUAUCAUAUAUUAUGAGCUACCACAUACAGGAAAUCAAAAACUAAAUCACCUUGAAACCUAACUAAACUGCAUAUUCUAGGAAUA
rnacentral:lncRNA from 1 species